rnacentral:rRNA from 1 species
UACGGAGGGUGCAAACGUUGCUCGGAAUCAUUGGGCGUAAAGCGCACGUAGGCGGUCUUUUAAGUCGGAUGUGAAAGCCCCAGGCUCAACCUGGGAAGUGCAUCGGAAACUGGAAGGCUGGAGUACGGAAGAGGGUCUCGGAAUUCCCGGUGUAGAGGUGAAAUUCGUAGAUAUCGGGAGGAACACCAGUGGCGAAGGCGGAGCCCUGGGCCGAUACUGACGCUGAGGUGCGAAAGCGUGGGGAGCAAACAGG